ensembl:rRNA 5S_rRNA 5S ribosomal RNA
UUAUGUGGCCAUACCAACCUGUCAUUGCCUGAUCCCGUUAGAUCUCAGAAGCUAAGCAGGUCUGGGCCUGGUUAGUAGUUGGAUGGGAGAACACUGAGAAUUCCAGGUGCCACAGUGG